rnacentral:miRNA from 1 species
UAGAGAGGUGGUACAAUUGUG